AGUGAACGCUGGCGGUAGGCCUAACACAUGCAAGUCGAACGGCAGCACAGUAAGAGCUUGCUCUUACGGGUGGCGAGUGGCGGACUGGUGAGGAAUACAUCGGAAUCUACUUUUUCGUGGGGGAUAACGUAGGGAAACUUACGCUAAUACCGCAUACGACCUACGGGUGAAAGCAGGGGAUCUUCGGACCUUGCGCGAUUGAAUGAGCCGAUGUCGGAUUAGCUAGUUGGCGGGGUAAAGGCCCACCAAGGCGACGAUCCGUAGCUGGUCUGAGAGGAUGAUCAGCCACACUGGAACUGAGACACGGUCCAGACUCCUACGGGAGGCAGCAGUGGGGAAUAUUGGACAAUAGGCGCAAGCCUGAUCCAGCCAUACCGCGUGGGUGAAGAAGGCCUUCGGGUUGUAAAGCCCUUUUGUUGGGAAAGAAAAGCAGCAGGUUAAUACCCCGCUGUUCUGACGGUACCCAAAGAAUAAGCACCGGCUAACUUCGUG
rnacentral:rRNA from 1 species